rnacentral:rRNA from 1 species
CGCGUAGGCGGGCUGCCGCGUCCGGGGUGAAAUCCUCCCGCUUAACGGGAGAACGGCCUCGGAUACGGGCGGCCUCGAGGGGGGUAGGGGCAUCUGGAACUGUGAGUGGAGCGGUGAAAUGCGUUGAUAUUCACAGGAACUCCGGUGGCGAAGGCGAGGUGCUGGACCCCAUCUGACGCUGAGGCGCGAAAGCCAGGGGAGCGAACG